rnacentral:rRNA from 1 species
UACGGAGGAUGCAAGCGUUAUCCGGAAUUAUUGGGCGUAAAGGGUCCGCAGGCGGCAAUGUAAGUCUGCUGUCAAAGAAUGAGGCUCAACCUCAUCAAGGCAGUGGAAACUACGUAGCUAGAGUACGGUCGGGGUAGAAGGAAUUCCUGGUGUAGCGGUGAAAUGCGUAGAGAUCAGGAAGAACACCGGUGGCGAAAGCGUUCUGCUAGGCCUGUACUGACACUGAGGCGCGACAGCGUGGGGAGCAAACAGG